CCUGGCCUCAAAAGAGAGUCUGGAGACCUAGGACCUCAAGUGACCACCCUCCUCCACUGUGCCCCUAUAUCUGUUCCCCAGCUCAGUCUCCCCUACUCCCCUACCUAUGCCUCCUAACCCCACCCCAUGUCUCCUCUCACCGGGGACCCAGAGGACCUCAGGGCCUAACAGGCCCUGCUGGCGAAGGCUGGUUGAAGGGGCCAGGCAGGCGCUAAUGGAGCUUGAGAAAUGCCUGGACAACCUGUAGUGAAGGGUGAUCGAGGUGUUGAUGGACACCCAGGGCUCCCUGGAGAGAAGGGAUAUAUGGGUGAUACUGGUGCCCAGGGUCUUCUUGGGCAGCCCGGUGAGGAUGGAGAGAGGGGAGAUGAUGGGGAGAUUGGGCCUCGAGGGCUGCCUGGAGAGUCGGU